rnacentral:rRNA from 1 species
CCUACGGGAGGCAGCAGUGGGGGAUAUUGCACAAUGGGGGAAACCCUGAUGCAGCGACGCCGCGUGUGGGAAGACGGUCCUCUGGAUUGUAAACCACUGUCCCCAGGGACGAAGAUGACGGUACCUGGGGAGGAAGCUCCGGCUAACUACGUGCCAGCAGCCGCGGUAAUACGUAGGGAGCGAGCGUUGUCCGGAAUUACUGGGUGUAAAGGGAGCGUAGGCGGGGAUGCAAGUUGGGUGUCAAAACUACCGGCUCAACUGGUAGUCGCACUCAAAACUGCAGCUCUUGAGUGAAGUAGAGGCAG